rnacentral:lncRNA from 1 species
CAUUCAUUAGCACAUAUCACACAUACAAAACCCAAAUAAAAUUUAGAGACUCUAAAUUAAAUGCCAGCCUAAUUAUUCAAGUCUAUCCAUUGGAAAAAAACGAAAUGGGCUCAGUGAAUGACUUUGCCCAAAACAAAAAUAAUAAAAAGAACAAGGGCCCAUGGUGUUGACCGAGAAAAACGUUAUAACUUAUAACCCAAGAGAGAUUUAAGGCCUGAUGAAAAACAAAAGCUAACAUGAAUUUUGUUCUUGAAAUUUUAAAGUAAUUAAAAAAUAAGAGCCCAGCCCAGAACUCACAAUAAGACUUCAAAACACCAGUCACAUACAUAGCUAGCGAACGUUGUACCUUCCAUGAAGAUCGAAGGAAAGCUAAGACUGCUGAAGGAAUAAUGUGCUACUGUAGUUCACGAUCUUGCUGGUCUGAGAGGAGUAACCUCUGCUGCUGCUGCUCAAAUGAAGCUGAUGGCGUGAAUGAGGAGAACAAACCUCUGCUGACGGUGGAAUUGCUGAGAGAGAUAUGACGGUCACAGCCUGAGGAGCACAACCUCUGCUAGCGAGACUGACGAGAGGUAGCUGGUCUUGGAAUUUCUGCUACUCAUGGUGAAGGAUUUCGUUGCUGCUCAGGAGGAGACUUCGCUGGUAUUGGACUGCUUGGGUUAGGGUUUUGUGAGAUUUUAAUGGGAGAGAUGAGGAGGUUCUAGGGCUCUUGGGUUGACGAGAACUCGACCCUUGAUAUUAAAAAAUAGGCACUUGAGGGUCUAGCUGCUGUGGUCAACCGUGUGACUUGUUCCGCCCCCGUCCCGGGUUCGACCCUCUAUGUGCACGCCUGUCACCCCCGCGGUGCCUUACCUGCUCCUGGGCUUGCAGGAUGUUCAGUGGGCCGUGGGGAAUAGUCGUGGUGCGCGUAAGCUGGCCCGGACACCCCACGUAAAUCAAAAAAAAAAAAAAAAAAAAAAUAGAUCCCAGCCAUUUAUUAAAGUUUAAGACAAAAGCUUGUCCUAAAACUGACAAGGGAGGACACAAGAUUAUUUUUGUUAAAAAAAACAGUUCUGGGUGGUGUUUUUAGGAAAGAAUUUGUAGUUGUUUUUAAUGCAAUAAAAACUGGAACUUUGGUUUAGAGUGAAUUAAAAAUACCAUAGUAUAAAUUGAUAUAAGAUUUGUAUGGU